GACGAACGCUGGCGGCGUGCUUAACACAUGCAAGUCGAGCGGUAAGGCCUCUUCGGGGGUACACGCGCGGCGAACGGGUGAGUAACACGUGGGUGACCUGCCCUCAGCUCUGGGAUAAGCCUGGGCAACUGGGUCUAAUACCGGAUAUGACCUUUCCUCGCAUGGGGUUUGGUGGAAAGUUUUUUCGGCUGGGGAUGGGCCCGCGGCCUAUCAGCUUGUUGGUGGGGUGAUGGCCUACCAAGGCGACGACGGGUAGCCGGCCUGAGAGGGCGACCGGCCACGCUGGGACUGAGACACGGCCCAGACUCCUACGGGAGGCAGCAGGGGGGAAGAUUGCGCAAUGGGCGGAAGCCUGACGCAGCGACGCCGCGUGGGGGAGGACGGCCGUCGGGUUGUAAACCUCUUUCGACCCCGACGAAUUUGGACGGUAGGGGUAGAAGAAGCACCGGCCAACUACGUG
rnacentral:rRNA from 1 species